rnacentral:misc_RNA from 1 species
GCUAUACCUUCAUUUGGAACGAAUCGUCUUGAACCAAGUCAUCAAGGUCAUGGUCACAGUCAUCAAGGUCAUGGUCACAGUCAUCAAGGUCAUGGUCAUAGCCACUGAUUUGUUGUUUGAAUCAUAUUUCAUAGCUGGAAAUGGUAAUGUGUUUAGGGGUCCAUGAAGUUCAAUUAAAGUGAAACCAGUUCCAGAAUCUCUUGAUGUCAACAUUUAAAAUAUGUUACUUGAAUAUGGUGGGUUUUUUUUUUUUAAGAUUUAUUUGAUAGCAAGAAAUUUAAACUGAUAUUUUAAAAAAGCAUUUUCUCUCAUGUAACCAAACAAGUGUUUGUCAUUUAGUUGUGUUCAAUGUUUAUUGUUGGUUUUAGUGACAUUGUACACAACCAGUAUCAUGAGUUUUACAGUUAAAAAAAACUAUCGUUGGAAUUUCAUGUGCAUUUUAGGACUUUGGCACCUAAUAUUAAAUUCUUUUCCUCUGAAUUUCCAAAAUACAUGUAUAUUUUGAUAUAAAACUCACUUGUGUGUUGUCCAUGAAAAAAUUCACACCAGUUCUAUAUGAGUCACAUUCCAACAGAAAGGAACACAGUAAGAACAACAAUAUGUUAUGCAAGACCCAUUCUCGAUGACCUGUGGUUUUUUGUCCAUAUACAUGUAAUGUAGUUGUGGUCAUUUGAUAUAAUGUCUCUCAGCCAUGUUUUGCCAUGAAGGACAUAUAUGUAAUAUACAUGAUAAAUUAUGUACGCAUGAUUAAUGUGAUAUGAUGAAGCAAUUAUUUUUAAUGUACUGUACAGUUUUUUGCUGUAAUUCUAUUGGAAUAACUUUAAUAAAGGUAUAAAAAAUC